rnacentral:rRNA from 1 species
AAGUGCCGUGAUUGCAUGAGUAGAUUUUACAACUUCUCCUAUCCGAGAAACAAUUUGGAGGGCAAGUCCUGGUGCCAGCAGCCGCGGUAAUUACCAGCUCCAAUAGCGUAUAUUAAAGUUGUUGCAGUUAAAAAGCUCGUAGUUGAAUUUCUGUCCAUCGGUCACCAACACAAUUGUGUUCGUGUGACUGGUGGGCAUCCUUCUAAGCGUUCCUUACGGAUACGUUUAGAGCCUUUACUGUGAGAAAAUUAGAGCGUUCCAAGCAAGCGAUUGCUUUGAAUACUACAGCAUGGAAUAAUACUAUAGGACUUUUGUGCCUAUUUGUUGGUGUUAGGCCGAAAGUAAUGAUUAAUAGGGGCAGUCGGGGGCAUUCGUAUUUGGCAGCCAGAGGUGAAAUUCUUGGACUUGCCAAAGACGAACUACUGCGAAAGCAUUUGCCAAGGAUGUUCCCAUUAAUCAAGAACGAAAGUUAGGGGAUCGAAGACGAUUAGAUACCGUCGUAGUCUUAACAAUAAACUAUGCCGACUAGAGAUUGGAGGUUGUUCCUUA